rnacentral:rRNA from 1 species
UAGUCCACGCCGUAAACGAUGUCAACUAGCUGUCUGUGACUAUAUGUUGUGGGUAGCGUAGCUAACGCGCUAAGUUGACCGCCUGGGGAGUACGGCCGCAAGGUUAAAACUCAAAUGAAUUGACGGGGGGCCCGCACAAGCGGUGGAGCAUGUGGUUUAAUUCGAUGCAACGCGAAGAACCUUACCAUCCCUUGACAUCCACAGAAGAGACUAGAGAUAGACUUGUGCCUUCGGGAACUGUGAGACAGGUGCUGCAUGGCUGUCGUCAGCUCGUGUUGUGAAAUGUUGGGUUAAGUCCCGCAACGAGCGCAACCCUUAUCCUUAUUUGCCAGCGCGUAGAGGCGGGAACUUUAAGGAGACUGCCGGUGAUAAACCGGGAGGAAGGUGGGGACGACGUCAAGUCAUCAUGGGCCCUUACGGGGAUGGGGCUACACACGUGCUACAAUGGCGUAUACAGAGUGCAGCGAGACCGCGAGGUGGAGCGAAUCACACAAAGU